rnacentral:rRNA from 1 species
GAUGAACGCUGGCGGCGUGCCUAAUACAUGCAAGUCGAACGGGGAGUAGCAAUACUCUUAGUGGCGAACGGGUGAGUAACGCGUUGGUACCUGCCCCGAAGCGGGGGAUAACGGACCGAAAGGUCCGCUAAUACCCCAUGUGCUCGGUAACGAGUAAAGGUGAAAACCACUUUGGGAGGGGCCUGCGUCCCAUCAGCUAGUUGGUAAGGUAACGGCUUACCAAGGCGAUGACGGGUAGGGGACCUGAGAGGGUGGCCCCCCACAAUGGAACUGAAACACGGUCCAUACACCUACGGGUAGCAGCAGUAGGGAAUAUUGGUAAUGGGCGCAAGCCUGAACCAGCAACGCCGCGUGUGCGAUGACGGCCUUCGGGUUGUAAAGCACUUUUGACUGGGACGAGGAAGGACGGUACCGGUCGAAUCAGCCUCGGCUAACUACGUG